rnacentral:lncRNA from 1 species
UUGUUUAAUGUUUAUUUUUGUUUUGUUGUGUUUUUGCACUUUAUUUUCCUUAUGUAAUAUUAAGUAUUCACUAACUGGUUUUUCUUUGUUGCUAUUUAUUUAACUUCAUUGUAGGUGUUUUAUUACUCGAAUAAAUUCUAAUUUCUUGGCAAUUUUGAUCCAGAAAUUGAAAGGACUGUUCGAAGUAGACUUCAAGAACAAAUAAAUAUGGCUCUACCAGGGAACAAUGCAGCCAUACCCCCGAUGCAACAGCAAAAUGUUAAUAACCUAUUGUUGCCACAAGAUGCUCGCAUACAAAAUAGGAAUAUAUGAGAUUUUGUAGUGCUUGUCUUGGAUGAUUUACAACCAGG